UCACUGGGUUGUCUGGUCCAGAAUCGGUUAUUUACAGACUGCCACCAUAUAGCUGGAAUAUUGCUGAGUCCGGCAUAAAACUAAACUCAAUCAAUCAAUCUUUUGAGUUGUAGAUAUCAAAAGAGAAUUCAACACUCACAAAUGCUUGAAAAUAUUUUCAUGACGGAGACUAAGUAUGAGUGCAUGUAGGGUUUAGGGAAUCAGCACUCAUGUGGGCUUCAUUUUUAACUUGUCCAUCUCCAUGGAAACAGUGUAUCUGAGCAUCUGUGUGUGUGCUUGAUGUUUGUCUGUAUAAUGAGAAGACUCAAUGCCCAUGUUGACGAACCAUGACUUAUACAUUGAUGAUACUGGCAUAAUAGUAAUCACAGAUGCUAUGACGAUUUCACUCAAGUGACUGAGCACUCCACUUGAUAUUUUAAAUGAGUAGUAACUACUUCAGGGAACUGAUUUGUUACAUGUUACCAGAGACCAUAUGAUUAUAUUAUUAUUGGUUUGACACGUUGUGUCCAAAUGAAGGAUAGAUUAUUCAGAAUUGUUUUAAUACAAACAAUGCAGUGUUUUGUUUUGCAACAUUUUGUUUCUUUGCUUUUGUCAACUGCUUGUGACUAUCAUGAUGAAAAAAGUUUCCCCCAUUAAUAUCUGACACUCAUGAUCACAGACACUAUACCAGAGAUAGGCACUACACAGGGCACAGACACUAUACCAGAGACAGGCACUACACAGGGCACAGACACUAUACCAGAGACAGGCACUACACAGGGCACAGACACUAUACCAGAGACAGGCACUACACAGGGCACAGACACUAUACCAGAGACAGGCACUACACAGGGCACA